CUCCAAUCCGGGGCACGAUGGCCUUGCAGACAUACUGACCCGCAUCGGCCUGGCUCACUGACUUCAAAUACAGCUGGUUGUUGUUGCUGAGCACCUGGACGCACAUACACAAGCAUACUAGUUUGGCCCCACCCAUGCACCUUUACAGUCUGACAGAGAACAAGGGCAACAUACGGUGGACGUUGAGGGCAACAGUGGCACGUUUGCCCAUCGGCACCGCCGGGUUGCUGGCAACACAGGUAAAGUUGCUGCCGCUGUCGGUGUCAGCCGGUGUGAUGGGCAGGUAGCUCCUGGUCGUCACCCUCUUCCUGUCUGGUAGUACUUCCUGUAUGGCAAAGAAAAAGGGAGUAAGAGGAAAGUAGGAUUGUGGGUAGAGGAUGAUGUGGGUAGAAUUUGGGGAGGGGAGCCGACAGAGACAGAUCAAAGAAGAGUAGGAGGAGCACGGUGGAUUGGGAAGGACGAAAAGGACAAAAAAAAAAAAAAAGCAAUGGGAAAUAUCAUGGGAGAAAUAAGACAGAAGAAAGGAAGGAGACAUAAGAGGGUUACUAAUGGAGCCAAGAGAGAUAAAGAAAUAGCAUAAAACGGAAAUAGAAACAGCAAGUAAUA